rnacentral:lncRNA from 1 species
CAUUCAUCUACCCAUGUUUUACCCAACAUAUUAUGUAGAUAUAAAAUACUUUACACAGUUUACAUCAUUUAAAACAUGUAUAAAAAUCUUUCACCAGCAUAGACAGCAAGUAUUCAGACAAUAUGCACACAUAGCACGUAAUUAAUAAUAAAAUACUUCAUAUCUAUGUGUAAGAUGAAAGGGACCAUGCACUCACCUGAGUAGGUGGUGACUCAACACUCGAACAGCGCUUCGAUACUCUCAAAACGAUAUUCCUUCGAUAAAACCUAGUAUCGAUACCACUAGGGUUUAGUUUAACGAUAACCGCGACAAAUUAAUUAGUCCGAGUAUUAUUAAGCGUUAAUAAUACUCGAUAUAACUCAUAAUAAUAGCCCAAAUAAUUAUUUUAAGGACCUAAUAACAUUCCUAUAAUUAUUUGAAAGCUAUAUUAAAAAUUGCGUAAGCGUAGCACACUUACAGCGAAUUUUAUCGAAAACCGGAACUUAAUUGGAGCAGCGUUUCGAAACCGAAAAACUCCUUUUUCUCGGGACUCCGGGAGCCUCGGGGCUUCCCU